rnacentral:lncRNA from 1 species
UCCUGGCCCGACGGUGACGGAGGGCUUUGAUGAGGCCCGGCGGCCGCGUGCUUGCCAGGAAGGCCCGGGGCUUGAGGCCCUGGAAGGCCUGGCCCGUUCAGGAGUCCCGGCUGUUUGGGGGAAUGUCCCACGCCCUGUGGGGAUUUGAGCCGUGUCUCCCGGCCGACUUGGGUGUCCCGGUUGGUGUGUGGUCGGGCCUGGGGGCUUGGUGCGGGCGGGAACCGCGGGUAGCGACCACGUCUCGUCAGGGGGUUCGUGCCUGCUGCUGGGCACGGGAACGGCUCCGGGGGGGUCUUACGGGCGCUGAGGGGAUUCCGCAUCAUGGAGAGGUCAAGGGGAGUUGGUGGCCGUCACCCUUCGUCAGGGCAGGGUAGCAUCAGUGCUCCCGUGCUGGGGUUCCUGGAGAGCCGGCUGGCACGGACAGACUCUUGUGAGGGCAAGUGGCUGAUCGUGCGUCGGAUGGGUCCAGCAAAGGAGAGAAAGCUUCGGGUGCGCGCGCUCGCCAGGGAAAGGGUGACAGCGGGUGGGACCGAGAGGGAGAGAGAGAGAGAGAGAAAAAGGAAGAGAGAGGGUUUCCGCAGGGGCGGUGAGUCCUGGCGGAAGUCCUGAGGCAGAGGAGGUGCCAGGGGUUUGGGUUUCCCGGUCGUGUCGGGGGUGUGGCGCAGGUUGCCCCAGUGGGCCUGAAUGUGCCUCCGUGGGGCACCUUGUUGCCGUGUUGGGGGGCGGGGAGCCGGCCUUGGGGAUCCAUCUUUCGGGCCCUGGGACGUGGGAGAAGAAUGCCGGGCCUCUCUCUGUGCCCCUGGCGCCUCUGUGCAGGCCGGGCCUGCACCACCCCCCCGCGCCCGUCCCCAGGCAGGGUCCGUGUGGCUGCAGACACCCAGAGAGAGGGGAGGCUGGGGAGGCUGGGGAGCCGUGGCAGCCCGAUGCAGUGCGGGUCUCCAGGUGGAGGGGCCCUGGUCCCCUGGCGCCAGCGUGGCCCUUCCUCCUUGUGGAAACCCUUGUGGUGUGUGUGCUCUCUCGCCCUGACCCAGGAGAGCAGCAUGGCGGACCCCUGAUCUUGUGGCGUGCCACCGCGCGAGGCCGAGGAGCUCCCGCAGCCCAGUGGGCGUGGCGUCCUUGUCGCGGCUCUGUGGAGACCUGGCGAUGGAGAGCAGCAUGGCGGACCCCUGAUCUUGUGGCGUGCCACCGAGCGAGGCCGAGGAGCUCCCGCAGAACCAGUGGGCGUGGCGUCCUUGUCGCGGCUCUGUGGAGACCUGGCGAUGGAGAGCAGCAUGGCGGACCCCUGAUCUUGUGGCGUGCCACCGCGCGAGGCCGAGGAGCUCCCGCAGACCAGUGGGCGUGGCGUCCUUGUCGCGGCUCUGUGGAGACCUGGCGAUGGAGAGCAGCAUGGCGGACCCCUGAUCUUGUGGCGUGCCACCGCGCGAGGCCGAGGAGCUCCCGCAGACCAGUGGGCGUGGCGUCCUUGUCGCGGCUCUGUGGAGACCUGGCGAUGGUGAGCGGCCCCUGUCCUCAGUGGUGGAGAACUCGCCCUUGGGGCGCUCGUCUGUCCGGAGCCCCGGGCCAGCCCCGCUUCUCGCGGGCUUUGGCCCCGGCAGGCCAGCUCCGGGGGCGUGAGGGGGAGCGUCCCGUCCUGCCCAGUGGCUCGUCUGUCUGGGCACGCCCCCAAACGCUGCCGUGAUGGAGCGGGUGGGAUGUCCAGGUGCGGAGGCCGUGAAUUUGCCUUGCGGCGGCGGAGCCCGUGCUCGGAUCGAUGAUGACUCCCUCUAAAGCAUUCCUUGGAAAUCUGAACAAAAUGAGUGAGAACUCACUACCGUC